rnacentral:sRNA from 1 species
CAGCUCAGUUAGUAGAGCAGUUGGCUUUUAAUCAAUUGGUUGCAGGUUCGAGCCGAGCGAAGCGAGAUAACAGCGCGUGAGCGCUGGCCCGAAGGGCGAGGCCGUAGGCCGAGUCAUCCUGCACGACCCAUCA